rnacentral:rRNA from 1 species
AGCAGCCGCGGUAAUUCCAGCUCCAAUAGCGUAUAUUAAAGUUGUUGCAGUUAAAAAGCUCGUAGUUGAAUUUCGGGAUCAAGUCGUCGGUCGUGCCUCGGUACGCACUGGUGACAUUGGUUUCUCCCUUCUGAAGAACCUUGAUGUCAUUAAUUUGGUGUCUUGGGGAAUCAGGACUGUUACUUUGAAAAAAUUAGAGUGUUUAAAGCAGGCUCACGCUUGAAUACAUUAGCAUGGAAUAAUGAAAUAGGACGUUUGAUUCUAUUUUGUUGGUUUCUAGGAUCGACGUAAUGAUUAAUAGGGAUAGUUGGGGGCAUUAGUAUUCAAUUGUCAGAGGUGAAAUUCUUGGAUUUAUUGAAGACUAACUACUGCGAAAGCAUUUGCCAAGGAUGUUUUCAUUAAUCAAGAACGAAGUUAGGGGAUCGAAGACGAUCAGAUACCGUCGUAGUCUUAACCAUAAACUAUGCCGACUAGGGAUCGGAUGAUGUUAAUUUUUUAAUGACUCAUUCGGCGCCUUACG